CCCUAGUGACUUGCCUAUAAAGGCAUAAUGACUUGCAGCUUAAGACUUAGAGGGAAAAGGAACAAAAAAAAGACUCAGAAAAGGGAACGAAAAAAAAAGAAAGAUCAUUGUUCCAUUGAGCUCCCUUCUGAUUUUGUUUGGGUUUCAACUUGAUGAAACAAUCUGGGCUUCAGUAAUUGUAUGAAAUGGCUUAAACCUGUUUUUUUUGGAGUCUAAGUAUUGACUUCUGGUUCAAGGGAAUUGUUUCAUUGAUGUUCAAAUUGAUUUUACUGGGUAUUUGGUUGAAUCUGGGUGUUUUCUUGCUGCUGUUGAGCUUACUAUUUCGAUUUACGGCUGUUGUUGUCUUCUAAGCUCAUAAUUUUUCAUUAUUAUUGUCGUAUUCAGGUACACACUCCUAUUUUCAUUAAAUGUAAGCUUUUGGCAUGGAAUCCAAAUGAGAUAUGGAGUUUCAAGUCUUGGUUGUGACUGUGUAGUUUAUCGAACUAUUCCUAUUUUGUUAGAAUGCUAUGCUUCUUAUUUC
rnacentral:lncRNA from 1 species